CCCGCCAGCGCCAAUGGUACUGCCGAAAGGUGGGAGAGUAGGUCGCCGCCGUUC
rnacentral:rRNA from 1 species